GGGAAUGUGGUCUAGUGGUAAGAUACUUGUCAUGAAGUGGGCUUUUCGAGCUUGGUUACGCGUCUUUUGGGCAACUCUUAUGAGUAGUAACUUCACCUUUAGAACAUGAGGCGAUAGUUCGAUUCUAUCCAUUCCCA
rnacentral:tRNA from 1 species